UACGUAGGGAGCAAGCGUUGUCCGGAAUCAUUGGGCGUAAAGCGCGCGUAGGCGGCUCGAUCAGUCUGUUGUGAAAGUCAAAGGCUCAACCUUUGAAAGCCGGUGGAUACUGUGGGACUAGAGUACGGAAGAGGCGAGUGGAAUUCCUGGUGUAGCGGUGGAAUGCGCAGAUAUCAGGAGGAACACCAAUAGCGAAGGCAGCUCGCUGGGACGUUACUGACACUGAGGCGCGAAAGCGUGGGGAGCGAACAGG
rnacentral:rRNA from 1 species